CGGACCCGUGUCCCCUGCAUCGGCAGGCGGACUCUCAACCACUGCGCCACCAGGGAAGCCCUAGAAUUGAAUUCUCUUGAACAGAAAUAAUCAACUUAGAUUAAGGGGCUAGCUCUGUUUAAAGUAUUUAUUUCUCUGAUUAAUUGAAGCACUUUUCUCCCAGUUGUUUUAUUGAAUCUGUUCUGGGGAGAGAUUAUGCCUAAAAUAUAAUGGUUUGUUUGACUAUUUAGUUCUCUCUCAUAGUUCGCUAUGGGGGUAAGAGAUUGUGAUUUGUUUUCCAAAGGGUAUCAGACUGCCUGGCACUUUAGUUUUAGAGUUCUUGAAGUAUAAGAUUUAUAGUAACCAGAAAACCAGAGGUUUUCUAUAUCUCUGGUAAGGGGUUGUGUAGAAUGGAUCCCUUCUUGAUCAGUACCUGUCCUAGAAGAUGGGUAAGGACAAAUUGCGUGUCCUUUUGUGGUCACUACCUGUAAUUAGAAGGACUUGGAAUGGGUUCUACAGAGUCAUGUGGAAUGGGUUAAUGAGUCUAACUGAGAAACCUUACAGUGUCAUCAAAGAGGUCAUGGGCCUCUCGAUCCUCCCACCCCCCUACCCAACACACACACAGAGCCAUCCGUAAGGGGGUCUGGCCCUGCUUCAGGAUUCACGGUGCCUUUGCAUUCAUUAAUAGGGCACUUUCCCCUUACUGUUCUCUUCUUAUAAGGCAAGCAUGAGCAUAAGUUUGUUGUGAGGGCAAACAGACUAUUUGGGCAGCUAGUGGUUUGGGUUUGGAUAUUAAUUGUUUAUGACACUUGGCUAGGAAAGCCAGCUGCCCAGCAUCAGGGGACCCUGGAGCCUGUGGAAUGUUGUGGAAGAAACCAGGAGUCCAAUGGGAAGCUGGGUUUAGGGGAAGUUCCUCUAGCUGGAGAGAGCAGGGAGCCCCUAGUCCCAACUAGCUUCAGGUCCAGGCAAUACAGGAGGAGCUCUUAAAGUCAUUUUUAGAUAACGACCAAAAACGGUGGUGACUUGGUGCACUCCGGCUUCUCAUUAGAGAAGAGGUCAAUGAAUGGGCUUUAGGAAUACCCACAAAUGGUAUACGAAAUUUUGUUUGUGUGUGCUUACAUUAGUCAUAGCUUUUGUCAGAUCCUUAAAGAAUCAAAAUUUCUUAAAGGAAUUUUGAAACUUAACAAAUACCAAAAAAGUUAAGAAUCACUGCCCUAGAUCCAUGAGAGAUUUUUUUGAGGAUUUCUUUAAAGUAAUGCCUAUAAAUGCCAGUUUCAAAGAUUAUUGUAGAAGUACUAGAGUCUCUCUUUCUCUCUCUCUUUUUUUAAACAUUUCAGGUCUUGUUGAGAUGGUCUCUUAUUCUUUUUUCUUUAGUUGUUACCUUGGAAAUUAUCUUGGCAAUUUGGACGAAAAUCAGGGUUGAUGUGCUCUAAGGCAUAUAUCUUAACUGCAUGGCUUAGCUUUUACCUUCUUACCUACUCUAGGGAUCUUUUUCAAAGGUCUUUGGCUGUUUCUGCUAGCGAUUGCAUUCUCAUAUGAAUUUACAGUGGGAUUUCUUGGUUUGUUCUUUUUUUAAAAAUAUAUAUUUAUUUAUUUAUUUGGCUGUGUCGGGUCUUAGUUGUGGCAUGAGGGUUCUUGGUUGCAGCAUGCAUGUGGGAUCUAGUUCCCUGACCAGGAAUGAAACCCGGGUCCCCUGCAUUGGGAGCAUGGAGUCUUAUCCACUGCACCACAGGGAAGUCCCUAGGACUAUGUUUUAUUCCCUUGUUUAAUGAGAGUUCCCAUAACAUUUUGUUCUGGCGUAGAAUUGAACCAAAAGGAUCUUAGAUUUCUUCUUGCUCACCCAACCCGUUUAUGCAUUUGUGGAGUGCUUAUUGUGAUUCCAGGCACUAUGCUAAAUGUAUUUCUCACGAAGUCAGACUUGGGGGAGUAUGGCCCAGCUGCUUAGCAAGUUGCUUCAGCUCUCUUUGUUUCAGAUUCUUUAUCUAUAAAAUAAUAACUAGUUUGUAGGAUUGUUUUGAGGGUGAAAUGAGACAAUAUAUACAAAACGUUUAGCCCAGUGCUCGGCACCUAGUAAAUGCUCAAGACAGCAUUUUGCAAAUAAAGAAAUUGUGAGGUCAAUUUUUCUUUCUUUUACAUUUUCUUUCUGUUUCUAGGAAAAACAAGACUGACAUUUUCUUUGGAAUCUAGGCCGUGUGCGUUUAUCUGUGUCUGUCUGUCUCUAAGUCCACCUGUCCCUGUUAAAUGAUGCCAUGGCCAAGUCAUUCCAGAACAUCAAAAGCAGCCAACCCAAUGCCUGGCUCAGAGUAAGCAUCUAAAAAAUGAAUGACUGAAUGAUGCACAACAGACUUGGUCAUAGAAACUGAAAAUGGAAAAGACCUGAGGACAUCUAGUCCAUCCAUGUGGUUGUACAAGAAAAGUGGCUGGAGCAAAACAGCCUGUUCACCUCAUGCUCACAAGACAGCAUUUCAGUUCUUCCUGGAGCAGAGCGACUGCAAACACAUUAAAGUGAAGACACAAUGCAAACACUCUUUACAGACCUUAAGAAGAUACUUAUGUUAUUUUCAUAAAACGAUUAGGAACUAAGCUUAAAGAAUGAGGGAAUCCUGGAUUAGAUGGGUGUGGGUGGGUGAAGAAAGGAGUAAGUAAACAGUGCAGAGUGAAGUGGUUUUGAUGACUAGAAAGCAGUUCCUUCUGAAGACUGGAUGGAUUUUCUGGUUUUCCUUUCAAAUAUAUGAGUUGGGAGGAAGAGAGGCUAGUAGUUUCUUUCCCCUUAAGUCUUUAUCCAUUCCGAGGAAGUGGUCACUAGCUCCAAGGCUCUAACAGACCCAGCACCAUCACUGCGAAGUCUGUUGCCCAGAUGACACAGCUCUGUCCUGCUCAGCAGCUGCUCCACUUACAGCUUAUCUGGUCGGCACAGAAGCAGCAGCUCCCAUAUAAGGUUUGUGCAACAGCAAGAUCUGUGGAUAAUGGAGAGUCACCUCCAGGCACCUUAAAGACCUCGACUGAUUGGGUCCCUGUGGCUGCCUCACUUGUGUGUCCCAGUCAUUCUUCCAACUUGUCUUCAAUUGUUGGAGGGAUCCCCCUGCUCCUCCACCUUGGGCAUCCACACCCUGGGGCCCUUAUUUUCAUUAUUUACAUGAACCAAUAGCCCUAUCUGUUCCAACUUGUCCAGUCCUACUUUAUUAUAUGUUUCCUAUGCCAGGAAUUCCCCCUUGGAAAACAGGGUUGGGGGUGUGAUAGUGGACUUGCCGUGCACCUGAUUUUCUAGCAUCAGAGCUUGGGAAAAAAUG